AAAUCAUGUUAGGAGGGCACUUUCUAAUCAAUUGUUUGUACCUCUUCCAGGCUUCAUAGAGGGAUUCACCCUCUUUUUGCCUAAAGGUCUGAACUUCCAUCCUGAGCUU